rnacentral:rRNA from 1 species
UUUAAUUUUGGAAUUCAUUCGUUCAUUCUUGUUCGAAUGUUAAGACUAUAUGUUGCAAUUUCGAUCCAUUUGAUUCAGCUUGAAUAUAUGUCUGUCAAGAUGCUAACGGAUGUCACCCUCUUCAGGAUGGCUCCUCCAACGCGUCAGAAUCCUGAACCACCGCCACCACCUCCACCUCCGGAGGCAUGGCAAGCUGUGAUGGCCGCUAUCAACGCCAACACGCAGAUGCUUAUGCAACUCUUGCAAGAGCGCAACCAAGGAAAUCAAGGCCAUGGCAACAAUCAGAAUCAGUUUGCUACACUCAACCAGUUCCUCGCAAACCAGCCAAAGACCUUCAGUAACUGUGUCGAGGAAACAGACGCUGAUGAUUGGCUCGUGGAUAUCUGCAAGCAUUUCGAGUGCAGCAAUGUCAGGCCUAAGGACUUUGUCAAGUUU